rnacentral:rRNA from 1 species
GACGAACGCUGGCGGCGUGCCUAAUACAUGCAAGUCGAGCGGACAGAAGGGAGCUUGCUCCCGGAAGUUAGCGGCGGACGGGUGAGUAACACGUGGGCAACCUACCCUGUAGAUCGGGAUAACAUCGAGAAAUCGGCGCUAAUACCGGAUAAUCAUUUGAAGUGCAUGCUUCGAAUGUAAAAGAUGGCUCCGGCUAUCACUACGGGAUGGGCCCGCGGCGCAUUAGCUAGUUGGUAAGGUAAUGGCUUACCAAGGCAACGAUGCGUAGCCGACCUGAGAGGGUGAUCGGCCACACUGGGACUGAGACACGGCCCAGACUCCUACGGGAGGCAGCAGUAGGGAAUCUUCCGCAAUGGACAAAAGUCUGACGGAGCAACGCCGCGUGAGUGAUGAAGGUUUUCGGAUCGUAAAGCUCUGUUGUUAGGGAAGAACAAGUGCCGUUUGAAUAAGGCGGCACCUUGACGGUACCUAACCAGAGAGCCACGGCUAACUACGUGCCAGCCGCCGCAGUAACAC